rnacentral:lncRNA from 1 species
UGAUGGUAAAUACCGAGUGUCGACUGGAUUGAAGGAUGCAAAGUAUUGAUCCUGGGUGUGUCUGUGAGGGUGUUGCCAAAGGAGGUUAACAUUUGAGUCAGUGGGCUGGGGAAGGCAGAUCCAACCUCAAUCUGGUGCGCCAUCUAAUAAGCUGCCAAUGAAUAUAAAGCAGGCAGAAAAACAUAAGAAGGUGAGACUGGCCUAGCCUCCCAGCCUGCAUCUUUCUCCCAUGCUGAAUGCUUCCUGUCCUCGAACAUCAGACUCCAAGUUCUUUAGUUUUGAGACUCGGACUGGCUUCCUUGCUCCUCAAGCUUGCAGACAGCCUAUUGUGGGACCUUGUGAUCAUAGAUCCUUGAUUAAUACAGAUGGGGUCCCACUAUGCUGCCCAGGCUGCUUUCAAACAGGGUCUUAACUCUGUCACCCAGGCUGGAGUGCAGUGGUGUGACCACAGCCACUGCAGGCUCAACCUCUGGGACUCAGGUGAUCCUCCCAUCUCAGCCUCCCAAGUAGCUGGGACUACAGCUAUGGAUUCAUGAGAAUCAAGACUAAGCAGCCUGAAUUGAAGGAGUAACAGUAUCACCUAACAAUGAUUUUGCUGCCAUAGUAGCUGUUUGUAUACUGGCCAUAUGCCUAGGUAAAAUGAGGCCAGAUCACUCUCAAGAGUUUUCUAUCAGAGUUGGUGGUGAACUACUGCUCACGGAUAAUGGGUCUCACUCACUUUGUCAUCCAGGCUGGAGUGCAGUGGUGGGAUCUCAGCUCACUGCAACCUCCACCUCUUGGGUUUAAGCAAUUCUCCUGCCUCAGCCUCCCAAGUAACUGGGAUUACAGACGAGAAACCCCAGCUGAGGAGGCAAAUAUACUCAAGGAAAGUAAUAGUUUCCAAAUGCCUGGCAGUGCCAGGAAGGGGCCAUGUCCAUGGACCACUAUGUAAGGAUAUCUCAGUCUCUAGUCCAGCGUGGUUUAUGGUGCCAAAUAAGUGCCAGGUGAACUCACUACAUCUGACAAAAUCUCAAGGAACCAAGUUUACCAGAUAAUAUUUAUGAUUAUGUGAAAAAGACUGAGGAAAUCACUCAAGUGAUCCAUCAUACAGCACCUCCAGUUCCAAAGAAUACUGACUUACUUCAGCUGUACUGGUCUGGAGCUGCACAUUCUUUUCAGACAACUCUUGUUCCAGUGACUCUUCUCCUGUAACAGAGCCUCCUUCUUAGAAACUAUGGCCUCCCGUUUCUUUAAGUCUGCUUCCAGCUCCUCUAAUUCUUGGCGUUGGUUCAGAACUUUCUCUACUUCUUCAUCUAACCAUUUCUUUUGCUCAUCCAAUUUCUACAUUAAAAUUAAAAAAAAAGUUACUUGUUUUUCCUUCUGCCAUAAAAAUUAUAUGGUAAUAAUAGAAUUUCAGAUUGGCUGAAAUCUCUUAAAUGAACAUUUAAAAACUAUCACUCAGAGUAACUCAGGUAGCCGUCUGAGAUCCUAAAGACAUCAGUGGUUCUAGUCAAGAUGUAGCUAUGUUGUUUUAUAAAGAAUUAAAAUUUACUCCCCAGAUAUGUUAAACAGUCUAGGAUUUUUUAGCCUGACGAAGAAAGGGCUGAUAAUUUUCUAUGCCUAUAUUAAGAACAUGCUGGAAUCUUUUACUCUGUUGUAGUGGUGCACAGUUCCAUCACAGCACUUACACUGGUGGCUGCCCUACGUAUCUAUCUCCCCAGCUUGAGCUCCUUGAUUGAUUGCAGGGGCUGUAGUUUUUACCCGUCUAUCCACAUGGCUGGUAUAUUGCCUGGGCCACAGUAGGCAUUCAAUAAAAUGUUAAAUGAAUGAGUGAAUGAAUGCCUGAUUCAGUCAGUCAAUGAAGUGAAUAAAUGAAUACACACAGUGGAAGACACAGAUGAUGGAGGAUGGAAGGAAAGCCAAUUUGCAUUGUAGCUUGUCAACCUCAAAUAAUUAUUUUUAAAAAAGAAAAAAAACAAAAAUAAAAAAUUGCUGAAAAGAUCUCCAAAACAA